rnacentral:tRNA from 1 species
GCUGGCGCGCCACGGCGAGGAUGCGGUCCAUGUGCUCGGGCUGCAUGUCGACCUUGUGCGCGGGAUCGUCGGCCGCCGCCAGCAC